UACGUAGGCAGCGAGCGUUGUUCGGAAUUACUGGGCGUAAAGAGUGUGUAGGCGGUGUUCCAAGUUCGGUGUGAAAUCUCCCGGCUUAACUGGGAGGGCGCGCCGAAAACUGGAAUGCUCGAGCGUGGGAGAGGAAAGCGGAAUUCCUGGUGUAGCGGUGAAAUGCGCAGAUAUCAGGAGGAACACCAAUGGCGAAGGCAGCACUCUGGGACGUGACUGACGCUGAG
rnacentral:rRNA from 1 species